rnacentral:lncRNA from 1 species
AGAGCCUUAGAUUGAUUAGGUUUGAUGCUACUGUUUCUGCUCGUAGCACUCGUUACUAGAAUGUUUCUGCUUUUGCAUAUUCAUUUGAAAAUCUGAAAAAAUUAUAUAUUUGUUUAUUGUGCAGAGACUCGCAGCUGACUUCUUAGCAAACUAUAUAUUCUUGGCUGUGGGUAGAGUAGGUUCAAGUACUGACUUAAUUGUCCAAAGGGUUGAGUUUGUCCUUGACUCUGACAAGAGAAGUCAUCUCAUGGACCUGCUUCAUGCUCAGAGAGAGAAUGGCAUGGUAAAAAUGUCACUCUUCUUUUCUUCAGCUGGUCUUGUAUGGCAGUCGUUACCAUUCUUCUGAUGACUGUUUUCUCUUCCAUAAUUACAGCAAUCCCUGACCUUAGUCUUUGUGGAGACGAAGAGGGGAGCCGACUCUCUGGAAAAUUGGCUGUGCAUCAAUGGGUUCCCAGCAACCUCCAUUCACGGUGACAGAUCACAGCAGGUUUGUUAAUCUCUUUGGUCAUCACUUUCAAGCUAGAAUUUUACUAAGCUUUGUUGUGUGUUUUAUGCAUUUGAAGGAAAGAGAAGUGGCGCUGAAGUCAUUCAAGAGCGGGAGAACACCGAUUCUGGUUGCAACGGACGUGGCAGCGCGUGGUCUCGACAUUCCCCACGUGGCUCACGUCGUGAACUUCGAUCUACCGAACGACAUUGAUGACUAUGUUCACCGUAUUGGACGAACAGGACGUGCUGGCAAAUCAGGACUAGCGACUGCCUUCUUCAACGACGGCAACACCUCGAUGGCAAGAUCUCUCUCUGAACUGAUGCAAGAAGCUAACCAAGAAGUCCCUGCAUGGCUCUCGCGGUAUGCGUCGCGUUCCUCCUUUGGUGGUGGUAAGAACAAGCGGUCUGGUGGUCGGUUUGGUGGGCGUGACUUUAGAAGGGAAGGUUCUUACAUUAGAGGAGGUGGCGGCGGUGGUGGUGGUUACUAUGGCGGUGGCGGAGGCGGCGGCUAUGGCGGUGGAUAUGGAGCUCCAAGUGGUGGAUAUGGUGGAGAAACUCCAAGUGCGUGGGACUAAGCGCUUAAUGUUUUUUUUGUUUUGUUUUGGUUAUAAACUUUUGACUAUUUAUCUGUCUUCUACAUUCCCAAAGAGAGAGUAUGUAUUGCCCCUUACACUUAUGAGAUGGAUGAAUAUAUAUAUAACUAAGGUUGCUGUUUAGGUGCUUUUGAUCUUUGUAGGCUUUUUUAAGAGUGUCCAAAGCAUAACAGUCCAGUUUCACAGAUUGUCUCCAAUUUUUUAUCAUGUUCUUGAUCUGAAACAUGUCUUGAAAGUGUUAAGUUAAUUGAUGCUCUUGUUCUGCUGGUGUGUUCUAGAUGCACUUCUAAGUUUGGUGAUGUAAAUUUAGUUUCCAGAGAGUAGAUAUAACAGAGAGAUGAUAUUGGUUCACCAACCACAUUACAUGCUUUGAAAGUUUUUAACAGAAACAGAGUUUUUAUCUACUCUUAAGAGAUCCAAAGAGUAGAUAAAAGACCAGUGGAGAUGGUAUUGGUUCACCAACCAUUACACAUAACAGAAACAGAGCUUUUUGUUAUUUACAUACAAAAACCCUUUUAGACAAACACAAAAAACAAAACAUGUCUCCUUUUUCACUUAUCAACGACGUCCAUGUUCCUGUCCCAUGUACCCCGUACUUCCUUGCUCAUGUGUCCUCUCAGGAGGAUCACCAAUAACUAUGUUCGUCGUGGUCUUUGCAAUCUCAGCUAUAGUCUCGCCAAUAGCCCCAAGCACUCCUCCCGCUCCAGCCCCUUGUUCUUGGGCAUAUCUCUCGUUCCUUCUUCCUCCUCCUCCGUAUAACUCCUCCUCUCCAACGUCUCUGGAGACUCCUCCUCCUUGUGUUCCAUAUCCGAAGACAUCUUCCUCACUCGCUCUUCCUCUUCCGUACUCCUCCCUGACGUCUCUCCUCUCUUCUCCGGAGAAGCCUUUUGUUCCAUACCCAAAGACAUCUUCCUCACCUCUCCCUCUUUCUCCUCUGUACUCCUCUUCAAAGCCUCUUCUUGGCUCUUUGACAUAACCUUGUCCCUUCUCUUCCUCACCUCCCUCGAAACAAAACAAAAAAACAAAGUUGCUUGAGCCACACGUAACAACAUAAUGAUUACUAAACAAACCCAAAAACCACAAGAAACAACAUAGUAAUAGUACUAAACAAACCCAAAAACCAAAGUUCCUUGAGCCACACGAAACAACAUAGUGAUACUAAACAAACCCAAAAACAUAGUUCCUUGAGCCACACGUAACAACGUAAUGAUACUAAACAAACCCAAAAACAUAGUUCCUUGAGCCACACGUAACAACAUAAUGAUACUCAAAAUAGGUCUAGUUCAAGUUGUGUGAAGUACCUGGUGCGUCUCUUGGUCUCUGUGUUGAGCUUCCUCUUUCUUCCUAGCUGUGUAUCCAACCACCGUAUCAGCAGCCACUGCAGCUUUCUCCUUAGUCAAGUCCACCGCCUUAGAACCAACUUCCGCCGUCUUAUGCCCUGCGUAACCAACCGCUCCUUCCACCGUACCAGCGACCGCUUUGGUCCCUUGGACCACUUUCUCCGUCGUGAAAUGCGCCGCAGUCCACCCAACCGCAGCCGCUUUCUCGGCUGCCCCUCCAGCGUAAUGUGCAGCUCCUUUGCCUCCUUCCACCACCGUCUCCUUUGCAUACUCAGCCGCUUCUUUGCUCAUUUCCACCGCUUCACCGGCCUUUUGAACCGUGUAGUCUUUGGCUUUUGCCGUCACUGAAACCGUCUGUUCUUUGGCUUCUUGUCCUUUCUGAGCAGCAAUGUCUUUAGCUUCACCAGCUUUCUGAAACGUGUAGUCUUUGGCUCUUGCAGCCUGUUCAGCCGCAGUGUUUCCAGUGUCUCUACCUUUCUCAGUGGCAUACUGAGAAGCUCUCUGAGCUUUCUNNNNNNNNNNNNNNNNNNNNNNNNNNNNNNNNNNNNNNNNNNNNNNNNNNNNNNNNNNNNNNNNNNNNNNNNNNNNNNNNNNNNNNNNNNNNNNNNNNNNNNNNNNNNNNNNNNNNNNNNNNNNNNNNNNNNNNNNNNNNNNNNNNNNNNNNNNNNNNNNNNNNNNNNNNNNNNNNNNNNNNNNNNNNNNNNNNNNNNNNNNNNNNNNNNNNNNNNNNNNNNNNNNNNNNNNNNNNNNNNNNNNNCUUCCGAUCCAAAAAGGUAACCCAAAAUCGAAAUUUAGGGUUUUUCUCCACCCUUGAUUAGAUUUCUCCGAUUCGUUCUUAGAUUCUCUUGACCAGUUUCUGAGGUGAGAGCCCCUGUGUGUUGCGUGAUUCCUUUGGCAUUAGUGUUGUUCAUUAUUCCCCUUUCGUACUUUGUCCUCGUUGGAUUAUUCUAUUCUCACAAAGUCUCUUCCUUUUUGGGAAUUCGAUUAUGAUUAACUUGAACCCAUCUCGUGAUUUUGCAGGAUUUUUCAUAAAGGAGCAACCUUUGAAGGAUUUGAACUUUGUUUUGUUUGCUUGCUUGCUGGGUUUGUUUGAAACAUUAUGAGUGAAUCAUGGGCUGACGUGGCUGACUCAGAGAACAACACUGCCUCUGGGUCUACUACUCAAAACUCUCACAACACUGCCUCUGGGUCUACUAAACCGUCACGACCUGCUUAUGUUCCUCCACAUCUAAGGAACAAGCAACCAUCUUCCGACCCUGUUGCUCCACUACCAGCUAAUGAUCGUGUUGGCUAUAACGGUCCACCUUCUGCCUCUCGUUGGGCUCCUCCUGGAGGUAGUGGUGGUUACAGGGCUGAUGCAGGGCGUCCACGAGGAACCGGCGGUGGCUGGAACAACAGGAGUGGAGGGUGGGACCGUAGGGAGCGUGAAGUCAACCCCUUUGAGAACGCUGACGCUGAGCCGGAGCCUGCGUUUACUGAGCAGGACAACACUGGGAUUAACUUUGAUGCUUACGAAGAUAUCCCGAUUGAGACUAGUGGGGAUAACGUGCCUCCUGCUGUCAACACGUUUGCGGAGAUUGAUCUCGGGGAGGCUUUGAAUCUGAACAUCAGGAGGUGCAAGUACGUGAAGCCGACGCCGGUGCAGAGGCACGCGAUUCCUAUAUUGCUUGCGGGGAGGGACUUGAUGGCUUGUGCUCAGACGGGGUCUGGGAAGACGGCUGCGUUUUGUUUUCCGAUAAUUAGUGGGAUUAUGAAGGAUCAGCAUGUAGUGCAGAGACCUCGUGGCUCACGGACUGUUUACCCUCUUGCGGUUAUUCUCUCGCCAACAAGGGAGUUGGCAAGUCAGGUUCGUGUUCUCUUCAAACGUUAAGACACUAAUCGCUUGAUGAAAACUCAUUCUGUGAUUUUUGGCAGAUACAUGAUGAGGCUAAGAAGUUUUCUUACCAAACUGGUGUGAAGGUGGUUGUUGCUUAUGGAGGAACACCUAUUAACCAGCAGGUAUAUUAAUGUACAUUUAGUUUUCUAGUUAGCUUUAAUCUGUUUUGUUGACAUCUUGUGUUGUUUGUUUGUGCAGUUACGGGAACUUGAGCGAGGGGUUGAUAUUCUUGUGGCGACUCCUGGUAGACUAAAUGAUUUGCUCGAGAGGGCUAGAGUCUCUAUGCAGAUGAUUAGAUUCUUAGCUCUUGAUGAGGCUGAUAGGAUGCUGGACAUGGGUUUUGAGCCACAGAUUAGAAAGAUUGUGGAACAAAUGGACAUGCCUCCGCGUGGUGUUAGACAGACGCUUUUGUUUAGUGCUACUUUUCCAAGAGAGAUUCAGGUUUGGUUUACUUGUGUGUCAACUCUUAUGCUCUAUACUUCUUCCUUGCAAAUUAUAUGUGAUGGAGAGCCUUAGAUUGAUUAGGUUUGAUGCUACUGUUUCUGCUCGUAGCACUCGUUACUAGAAUGUUUCUGCUUUUGCAUAUUCAUUUGAAAAUCUGAAAAAAUUAUAUAUUUGUUUAUUGUGCAGAGACUCGCAGCUGACUUCUUAGCAAACUAUAUAUUCUUGGCUGUGGGUAGAGUAGGUUCAAGUACUGACUUAAUUGUCCAAAGGGUUGAGUUUGUCCUUGACUCUGACAAGAGAAGUCAUCUCAUGGACCUUCUUCAUGCUCAGAGAGAGAAUGGCAUGGUAAAAAUGUCACUCUUCUUUUCUUCAGCUGGUCUUGUAUGGCAGUCGUUACCAUUCUUCUGAUGACUGUUUU